UAUCUCUGUAGAGUCUGCAUAUCAAUAAGCGGAGGAAAAGAAACUAACUAAGGAUUCCCCUCAGUAACGGCGAGUGAAGCGGGAAGAGCUCAAAUUUGAAAUCUUCAAGGUUCUGACCUUGACGAAUUGUAGUCUAAAGAAGUGUUUUCGGUUAGAGGAGUUUGGUAAAAGUUCUUUGGAAUAGGACAUCAUAGAGGGUGAGAAUCCCGUAUUUGACCAUUAUUUCUAGCUUUGUGAUACACUUUCAAAGAGUCGGAUUGUUUGGGAAUGCAGUCCAAAAUGGGUGGUAAAUUUCAUCUAAAGCUAAAUAUUGGCGAGAGACCGAUAGCGAACAAGUACCGUGAGGGAAAGAUGAAAAGAACUUUGAAAAGAGAGUUAAACAGUACGUGAAAUUGUCAAAAGGGAAGCGUUUGACACCAGUGUUGUUUUUUCCGAAAAUCAAUUAAAAAUGGAUUCAUGCUAAGUUGUAUUGACCUUAUCAGCUUGCAAUUUAGUUUUGGGUUUCUUUUUGAUGCACUUUUCGGUUAACAAGUCAACAUCAAUUUCCUUUGCUGUAAAAAGGCAGGAGGAAGGUGGCUUCAAUUUCGGUUGAAGUGUUUAUAGCCUUCUGUCUCUGCAGUCGGGGAGAUUGAGGUCUGCAGCGUAGAUCCUUCGGGGCUAGAUACAUUCGUGCUGAGUUAUAGCCUUUUAUAGACAACUUGUUGACUAUGAUUGGUCUUGUAAUUUACUCGCGAGUGCUAUUUUACCUACGCUUAGGAUGUUGAUCUACAGAGCGAGAGU
rnacentral:rRNA from 1 species